GUGUGUGUAUGCCUCUUUCUCUCUGUGUACCCCCAAAGCCCCCGGUGUCUCUUCCCCCACCCCUGCUAGAGGACCGAGAGGAUGAAUGUUUCCCCCAGGAAAGGAGGAACUGUUGUUCACCAUUGAGUGUAAGAUAACCGGAAGUUGGUUUGCAGAAGGCUUUAGGACUUAGAGGUUCCAUGAAGCCUGCUGUACAGUGACGUUAGAAGAAAGCUGGAGGGACUAGGAAGAAGACUAGUGAUAGGACCAUCAGGGAAGUGGCCACUUCCAAUGUCCUUCCUGAAGCCUUAAAAUGUCCCCUCUCCCCUCAGGGAUGAGGCUGGGUUUCCAACUUCAGACUGGUCAUCUGUUGUAAGCCAUUGCCGGAUGGACACCCCAUUCUCUGGAUGCUCAAAGCUUCUGGGGAGCUCCAGCUCCUCCAUUAUCCACCCUCAUGUUCUGGAGAGAUCUGGAGCCCGGCUGUCUCCCAGGGCCGUGACACACGAGACCAGUGAGGUUGUUUCGUUUUGGGUUUUUUUUUGUUUUUGUUUUUUUUUUGAGACAGGGUUUCUGUGUGUAGUCCUGAUUGUCCUGAAAUUCAAUCUGUACACCAGAUGGCCUUGAACUCAGAAAUUCACUUACCUCUGCCUCCCAAGUGCUGGGAUUAAAAUUGUGUGAUAUUACCGCCCAAGAGACCAGGGAGUUUUAAAGCUGCUUAGAACCUGUGACUGAGAUGCUAGGACGUCCUCUCUCUCUCUCUGCCUUGUCAUGCCUGAAGACCCUUGUUUUAGAAACAGUUGAACCUUCAUGCAAAGGAAACACAAUAAAGUUAGUUGGAGAUCAUUUUUGGUCCUCUGGCGCCUCCUGGUGGCCUGUGCACCCAGAGUCUCUCGCUUCUGGCAGAGCCAGAGAGCCAAGGUAGCCUGAGAAGGAGUGGCCAUCUCUGCCGAUGGAGGAUGCUGUUUAUAGAAGUGUUGUGGGUUGAACUGUGUUCCUAAAGGAUGUGACUUAUCUGGAGAAAAGGUUCUUUGCAGGUGCUAUUAUGAAAGAGAAGACCUGGGCUGGAGUGAUGACUCAGCAGUUAAGCUCAUUUGCUGUUCUGGCAUCUCCACCGUUAUUACUAUUACCACCGCCAACAUCACAUCUCCACCAUUUCUGCUUCAUCUUCACCUCCACCUCCACCACCACCACCGACCUCCCUACCACUACUACUCCCCACCCCAGCAGCAGCAGCACCUCCACUAGCCAGCUACUGCCUCGAACUGUGAGUUCACCUGUAGAACGUUGUGUCUGGUCUCCCUGUGUCAAGAUAAUUCGUUACAUCCUCAGAGAGGAAAAGGAAAUGCGGGGCAGGCUCGGACACUUGAGGUGUCUGUGUAGAAAAGCUGAGCUAAUUCAGCGCUGACUUCCGGUGCGAUCCCAGCGCUCCAGACACAACGCAAGGUGGUAAGUGAUAACGGAGCAUGCGCAUCUCGACUUUGUGGAUCUCAGCUCUGCUUAGAAGAGAGUCUCUUGGAGUCUCCUUCCGGGUCGAUUGGUUCCUAACAUCCAUUUCAGCUCCUUGCUGCUGCCUGUGCUAUUUCCUGUUUGCUUUCCCCGUUUCUCUGCCUUGCUUUUUGCUCCCUGGACUGCAGCCACCCCGAGGGGCCACGCCCCUCAGCUGUGGGGAGUGUGGCCUUCUAUUUCCUCUCCUUGGCUUCUCGAGGGCUCAAGGGUUGAUCUGACAGGUGAGGAUGGGGUAGAGAUGAGAUGACACAGAGGUCUGGGACACGAGACCAGCAGGGUUCAGUGGGAACAGAACUCAUUUAGAGAUGGUGGUGGGUCAGGUGUUGGCUUCAAGGCUUAGCGACAGGGUGAGGUAGUGAAACCUUCUUUGCCAGCUAUUUUAUUUCUGAGCCUUAUAGUUUUUCAGUUUUGAUAUUUCCCUCCCUCCCUCCCUUCUUUCUUCCUCCUUCUUUUCCUCCCCUCCCCUCUCCUUUCUUCCCUCCCAUGGGCCAAGGGUGGUCCUCCUUCCGGUGGACCCAGGACUUCUUGCACACUAGGCAAGAAGUGCUCUACCACUGAGGUCCUUUCAAGGUCCCCCCCCCCCCCGCCCACUCCCUUCUCCUCUUCUCUCUCUCUCUCUUUUUAAAAUUUUGACCAAGUCUUACCCUGUAGCCUAGGUUGUCUGGAACUCUAAGUGAACUUCCUGCCUCAGCCUGGUUGGGAUAUUCUCUAGGCUGAUGCAAGUCACUGUCUCUUGUCCAUCAUCUCACUGAGCAGAGAUGAGAGACAGGAAGAGGCGGUGCUGGGGAAGCUGAGGCUGAGCCUCUGAAUGCUACCGUGGCUGCUCAGGGCUGCAGAGCAUCCAGCUGGGCGGUUUCCAUGACCAGAAGUAGUAAGAUGUAGGUACUCGGAAGUAGUUCUCGGUGUUAUUCUGUCCCCAAAGGCCUUCUUUAACCAGCCUCAGUGGGACCCCAGCAGCUCCCUUCCUGCUGGUUCUGAGAGCCCGAGAAGUGGCUGCAUCUAACUUAUGAGCUGAGCUCUAGGACCUCGCUGCAGGCUUCUUCCAGCAGUGCUGUGGGAGGCUUACUCUGUACAGACCUGAGUCUGGGGUCUGAGGACUUGACAGUAGGGCCACCAAGGAGCUUUCAACAGAGAACGUUCUGUCCUGCUGGGUAAACACAGCCAGGCUUAGCCUGUGCAGAGACGGGACGGCUUGCUUCUCCUCAACCCUUUGUGCUUUGUUAACGGAAUGUCCCUGGCACAUUGGACUCUAGCUUGUGCCAACUUAGCUUGGCCCCUGACUUUGGCUGGGCACUCUCAGAGCCAGGGUCCUUCCUUGGAAGGUAGGUACAAAGCUGGCCUGAUCUGCCAGGUCUCCGGUUUCAAGGUUCGAACUCAGAUUGCCCCAGCCACUUUCCACUGCCACCCCAUUCAUCUGCUUCCCCCUCUGGGUGGAAUGGAGACAAAGUCCCAGGGUCCUUGAUGUCCUUUGACGGGGCAACAGCCACUGCUCUAUCACCAGGAGUCAAUUGGUGGCUUCUGUCUCCUUGGGGGCCCCAGAGCAGCCUGUGUGUUUGGGAAAGAGCCAGUCUCCUAAAGUCAGUCAAGAUGGAUUUUACCCUGGGCUCACGGCCUCUCUGGCCAGACAGGCAGGGCAGAACACCUUGCAGGGGAGAACAGAGUGGGAGAAAUAUGAGCUCUUGGUCUCAGGACCUGGAGUAAGGCUCAGGUGUCUCUACAUCUCUGCCAACCUUUCUCCAUGUCCUUGGGAAGGCCACAUUCCUUUCAAAACCUGAAAGACGACUUACUGUGAAGCUGCCACGCCUGGACUCCCAUGGCCCAGGCCUUAUGCCUGCUUGGCUUAGGAUCCUGGUGGUCCUGGUGCUGGAAUAGAUGCUUGACCAAGGAGGGCAGCAGCUGGUUUCCUUGGUGCAGCCCGACGCAGCAGUCUUAACCACUUAAUUUGUGGGAUUGUUUGUUUUGGUUUCCAGGGUAGCAGGGCUAAAGAUGGACACAAGACAUCCUUGACUCUUUAGAUGAUGCCUGCCACUUGUUACGUUAUGUAACUUCUCCUGUCCCUUUCGCUCCCCAUGCCUGCUUCCUGGAUGUGCUCCCGUGCACACCAUGUGUUCCAGCAUGGCGGCAGAAUGCUGCUGCGGCUUUGGUGAAGCUAUCAUCCGAAAGCAGCCAGCAGAGGGUGCAAGCUAGCUGCUGCUAUCUGUACAAGUCCAGUCCUCUCCCUGCCUGGCCAGCUUUGCACUGUGCAAACAGAAGCCUGAGCAGCAGAAAUCAGCGCAGGGUAGUUGCAGUUGGGCCACCUCCUUUGAGCUGUCAAACUCCUGGAGUCACUGUUUCUUAAGGAGCCCACUCUGCCUCCUGGGGCUGCUGAAGUCACAGCCUGAAGUCACAGCUUGCUGACAAACACAAUCCCAGCUGUGUGGAGCCAAGAAGUGGAGACCUAAUAAUACUGGGAGGAGUUGGGGAGCACACUGAGCACCCCAACCUUGUACCACCUCCUCCUUCCUCCCGUGUUCAUGCCCUGUGCUGGAGGCUAACCUCCUUGCAUGAGUGGGCAUGGAAGGGAAGGAUGCUGAGCCACCACAGUGUAGGAGCCCCUUCCAGGCUGUAGAUGUGCCAAUGACUUCACCUGGACUCUCAUCACUCAAAACCAAAGAGCCAGUGUCCUCAGCACUCCAGCCCACCCUUUCUGUGUGCCAAAUGGACUGAAGAACACCAACAAGAAUAAAAGUGUGAAGGUUGUUCCCA